rnacentral:tRNA from 1 species
CCGAAAAUAGCUCAGUUGGGGAGAGCGUUAGACUGAAGAUCUAAAAGUCCCUGGUUCAAUCCGGGUUUUCGGA